GCCCCUGUAGUUCAAUGGAUAGAACAAUGGCGUCCUAAGCCGGAGAUGUAGGUUCGAUUCCUACCGGGGGUACCA
rnacentral:tRNA from 1 species